rnacentral:rRNA from 1 species
GAUGAACGCUGGCGGCGUGCCUAAUACAUGCAAGUCGAGCGAACAGACGAGGAGCUUGCUCCUCUGACGUUAGCGGCGGACGGGUGAGUAACACGUGGAUAACCUACCUAUAAGACUGGGAUAACUUCGGGAAACCGGAGCUAAUACCGGAUAAUAUAUUGAACCGCAUGGUUCAAUAGUGGAAGACGGUUUUGCUGUCACUUAUAGAUGGAUCCGCGCCGCAUUAGCUAGUUGGUAAGGUAACGGCUUACCAAGGCAACGAUGCGUAGCCGACCUGAGAGGGUGAUCGGCCACACUGGAACUGAGACACGGUCCAGACUCCUACGGGAGGCAGCAGUAGGGAAUCUUCCGCAAUGGGCGAAAGCCUGACGGAGCGACGCCGCGUGAGUGAUGAAGGUCUUCGGAUCGUAAAACUCUGUUAUUAGGGAAGAACAAAUGUGUAAGUAACUAUGCACGUCUUGACGGUACCUAAUCAGAAAGCCACGGCUAACUACGUG